rnacentral:lncRNA from 1 species
CGGUUAGGAAGCAAUUUAAUUUCUCAAAAGAUUAAAUGCCACUAAUAAAUUAAAAAAAUAAACUAAAAAUCAACACCAAAUUAAUGCCAAAGCUUUAAACCAUAUAUUACUAAAUUAAUUCACAUACGCCAUCAAAAAAAAAUUCAUGUCACAAACCCAUACUCAUAAAACUCACUUUCCAGGUACAAAGUUUGUAGCAUAUGACCAUGCAUUGUUUGCAACAGGGUCAGCAAGGUGGUCAGCGAGGUUCUCCAAUGGUCCCUUUCCGGUAACAAUGGCUUGAACAAAGAAUCCAAACAUAGAGAACAUGGCUAGUCUACCGUUCUUGAGCUCCUUCACUUUCAGCUCAGCAAAUGCCUCUGGGUCAUCAGCCAGACCCAAUGGGUCGAAGCUACCACCAGGGUAAAGUGGGUCAACUACCUCACCAAGAGGUCCACCAGCAAUUCUGUAACCUUCAACUGCACCCAUCAAGAUCACUUGGGUAGCCCAGAUGGCUAAAAUGCUUUGUGCAUGGAUCAAACUUGGGUUCCCCAAGUAGUCAAGACCACCCUCACUAAAGAUCUGGGAUCCAGCCUUGAACCAUACAGCCUCACCAAACUUGACACCAUUACGCGCCAAGAGUUCGGGGAAGACGCACCCAAGAGCUCCGAGCAUGGCCCAUCUGCUGUGGAUGACCUCAAGCUCACGGUUCUUGGCGAAUGUUUCAGGAUCAGCAGAGAGCCCAGCAGUGUCCCAACCGUAGUCACCGGGGAACUCACCGGUCAGGUAAGAUGGGGCUUCGCCGGAGAAUGGGCCAAGGUACUUAACACGGUCGGGGCCGUACCAUGGACUUCCUGAUGGUGCGACUUUCUUGACUGCUGUCUUCCUCAUGGAAACCCUUCCAUUUCCGGUGAUUUCUGAACCAGAUGGUGUUAUUUUCACUGCUUGUCCGAUGAAUGAAGAAGAUACAGACAUAGUGGAAGCUGCCAUUCUGUUAAAUUUGGUUGAAAGAUGUUGUGGAGAUAGGAGAGUUUGAGUUAUGAAGAUGGGGAGAUCUGCAAGUUUAUUUAUAAGGUGGUUUUUUGGUCAGAUAGAUAUGAUCGAUGCUUAUCUAGAUACAAUCUUCACCUUCAUUUUGAUUGGCAAACAACAUUCUAGUUUUAUCUAAGGGUCAGUAAUCUGCGUGCUGUGAGUUCUCUGGUCCACCAGAGAUUUUUGAAGGGGCUGCGGUAUAUUCAUGGCUCUGGUUUAUUGAGGGAAUGUAAUGGCUCCCAUUCUCAGCCACAAGCUGUUCUUGGUGGGGUUUUUCAUCUUUAACCAUUUUACAUUUUCACAAAGUUACAUAAAUAGUCAUCAUGCUUUACAAAGUCACCGGUUCAGCAACAAACUUUUUUUCCAUGAUUAAAAAUUCAAAACGGUCCGUAUGGUUUUAAUAUUAUUAGUAAUCAUCUUAACAUUUCUAAUUUUUAAAGACAAAUAUUCAUAUAAAUGGUUAUGUGAUUUUCCAGAAUAUCAAGUGGAGCACAUCAUUUUUUCGGUCUUAUGGAAUGACUAUUUGGUUUCAAUUCCUAUCAUAAUUGAUCUUAGAGCAUCCACAAUAGGGGAGUUUAAUGGAAGAGUUGAAUGAGGUGUCAUGCCUACUUGUCAUUCAAUGGAUACAACUCCACCAUUGUGAAAUGCCACCUUGGCAUUCAAUGAAUUUGGAGUUCAAUGGUCAUUGAACUCUUCAAUGGGAAAAAGGAAAAUCUUUAAAUCUUUAAAUAAAUAUUUUUUAAUAUAUUCCAUUGAACUUGUAGAGUUUAAUGCAUUGUGGGAUAAAAAUGAAAAGAGUUGUAUGGAAUAAUGAAUGAUGACGUGACACUCCAUUGAACUCUAUAGAGUUCAAUGCAUUGUAGAUGCCCUUAGUCCCACAUAAAUAAACUUUUAUACCCUUCUAUAUUAUAAUUAGUUUAUUUAAUAUAUAAAUAGCUAUGUUUUAUAGUUAACAAUAAAUUUUGUUCAUNNNNNNNNNNNNNNNNNNNNNNNNNNNNNNNNNNNNNNNNNNNNNNNNNNNNNNNNNNNNNNNNNNNNNNCUCUCUCUCUCUCUCUCUCUCUCUCCCAUCACACCCUCCUAAUCUUUAUUUCUUUCACUCGAUCGGUCAACCUCUUUUCUUUCUACAUAAAAAUUAAUCCAAAAUGCAGCCUUUUCCCAUACUCUGUGCUUGCACCGCCACUUUACCUUCUUGAAACCAAAUUACUAACCAUACACAAGUCUACAAAUCUACUAAUGUGUCUUCCAUUUCUCAAAAUCGAAAAAUAGAGAAGGUGUAGAACAUUGAGCUCACUUCUGUGCAUCUCCCACCUCUUUUACACAAAUAUGAAAUUAAAAUUGAAGAACAACUUUGUGAAGAACCUAGAUUGUGGAGAUGAUGAUGAAUAAAGUCGAUAGUUGGUGGUGCUCGGUGAUGUUUGAUGUUAGCGGCAGUACACUAGUGUUGUGGUGAUCGCCUGUUCAGUUGGUUAUAUUCUGGUAGGGUGGACGAUGGUGACCGUAGAACAGUUCAUAUAUAUAUNNNNNNNNNNNNNNNNNNNNNNNNNNNNNNNNNNNNNNNNNNNNNNNNNNNNNNNNNNNNNNNNNNNNNNNNNNNNNNNNNNNNNNNNNNNNNNNNNUAUAUAUAUAUAUAUAUAUAUAUGUGUGUGUGUGUGUGUGUGUGUGUGUGUGUGUGUGUGCGCGCGCACACUACAAGAAAUUUAGGUGUUUAUCCACACACGUUAUAUGUGGCUAAAAGACCUUUAUGUGUAGUUAUCUUUAGCUACACACAGAUUAAGUGUCAUAAUGUAUUGACUCAUGCCUAUAGAUAUAUAUCAUUAACUAUACAUUCAUUAUGUGGAAGUAUAGUGCAAUUAGUACACACAUACAUGUGUGGUUAAAACUAGUAAGUAUGUGCAUAUAGAAAGGGAGCUGAUCCGUUCACAACAAUUUUUCUCCAUACACAAUAAUUGAUGCUUUAAAAUGUUGUAUUAUACAACUAUAUAAUGCAUGAAUUGUUGUGUAUGGCAAAAAACUGUUGUGUACGAAUCACUUCCCAUAUAGAAGUACUAAAAAUUGUUUGAGUUGUCAACGAUGUGGCUGAUGACAUGUCAAAUUAUGUGGCAAGCCCACACAAAGUGUUGGUGAUAUGUGUUAUUCGAUAUGUGUGGGUAAUAAUUGUUAUAUGUGUAGGUUAAGAUAAGAUAUAUGAAAUAUAUAAAACACAAUAAAUGAAAUAUAAAAUUUAACAACACAAAUUGUUAUUACUUUUAAUAAGGAGUUAACGAUAUAUAAAACUUCUUUUGGAAUGGAAGUAUGUAGCACCCAAAGUCAGAAAGGCCAAGAAAGGAAAGGAAACCCUAAGUUUAAGGGACGACUCAGCAAGUCCAAGGAGGUACUCGGCGAGUCCGAGCGGGAUCCGGGUCGAGGAGUAAAUGACCGACUCGGCGAGUCGGCCAAGGAGACUCGGUGAGUCUGGUCUGUACGAGGAAAUCCCUAAAUUCGGGACUUGGAGCCUAUUUAAGCGCCUCAUUCUCUUCUCUAGGGUUCCUCUACUGCCUCUCUAACCNCUCAACCCCACCCCCGCCCCGCCAUAUCCAUUGUUGAGCCAAUUAUUGCUUUGAAGAGUGCAUUAAAGCUUGGAGAAGGAAGAAGGACCUUGGAGGUGCAAGAAGGAGCUAUAGAUCUGGGCUUGGGAAGAUAUUUCUGAACAUUUGGAGGUAAUAAACUAGUUCUUGGACUCCUUUGCACCUAGAUCUAUGUGUGAGUUUUGGGGCUUUUGGCCAUGAUUGGUACCCAUUUAAGUUAGAAGCCAGAUCUAAAGUUGCUACUUCGGAUAUAAGCAUAUUAUGGGCUUGUGAAGCAUAAAGUAUCAGCCCUUGAGUUGAUUAUGGAGCCUCUUUGCAUUAAACCCUAUUUUAUGGUGUGUCUAGCCUAGAUCUCCUUCUCUACACGUAAAGUUUGCAACUUUACGUGAGGAAUAGGCUUGGGAAGGGUAGAUCUACAGUUUGGGGUCCAUGCAUGACUCAAAAGUCCUCUACAUGUAUGUAGAUCUGAAUGGACUCGGCGAGUCCUUUGAGUGGACUCGGGGAGUAGCAUGAAGAUUAGGAGGAACUCAACGAGUGGGAUGAACAGCUCAUCGAGUCGGAUGAAGUUGGGCAGGAACUCGGCGAGUUGGAAGAACAACUCGGAGAGUCGGUUGAAGAUUGCCUUGGACUAGGUGAGUCUGUUCUUGGACUCGGCGAGUCAGGUCGCGAAACCCUAAACCCUUCGACUUGAGACUCGAAUCAGUGAGUCGAGUGGAGACUCGGUAAGUUGGACAGGUCAGGACUCGGAAAUCGGUAGACUCGGCGAGUCAUGGACUGACUCGGUGAGUCGAGUCGCGAUUGGAAGGACUUAGAGCAUAUGAACUCGGCGAGUCAAUAGGUAGACUCGGCGAGUAGGGUUGACCUGGAAGAUUGACUUUGAACAGGACUUUGACUUUGACCAGAGUUGACUUAGUUGACUGUUGGGGGUCAGUUAGUCUAAGUGUUUCAUUGAUAUUGGUAGCUCGGGGAGCUAGUGGAGCAGGAGUUCAGAGAGUUUCCGGGCAGCAUCCAGAAGGUUAUCAGCAUGUUCAGCAAGUGCAUGUGAGUUUCCCUUUGUGCCAAUGGGUCUACGGUCACAAUGUCGGCCCAUGUAGUUAUGAGUAGAAGACCCGGGGGUUAGCCCUAGGCACAGUAUGCUAGUAUGAUAUUCAGGACGAGGUCCAAUGAUAGCGGGCGGGUGCCCAAGGAAUGGUUUAUGUGAUAGUUUAUACUUGUUGUAUGUGUGAUACUUGUAUGUGUCUGGUAGGGAGGUGAGUGUGGGCGAGGUCCCGUAUCUCACCAAUAGCAGAGUGUGGAUGGUGUUCCACAUCUCAGUAGCAGCAGAGCAGGGGCGAGGCCCAAGUUAGGGAAGGAGUGAGGGUGGGCUGGGCCCGUACCUCACUAUCAGCAGGAGUAUGGACGGGGUUCCAUGACUCAUCAGUAGCAGGACAAGGGCGGGGCCCAGAGAUAGGCGAGGCCUUAGGACAAGAUCCGUUAGUAUGUGUUUAGCUUAUGUGAUGUGAUGUGAUAUGUUUAUGUGCUAUUAUAUGUUAGUGGGCGAGGCCCUGUGACAGGCGAGGCCUAAGUGAAACAGAUCUGUAUCCGAGCGGGGCUCGAAGCCAGGCGGGGCCUGGAGCGGCGGGGCCGUUGUAGCGGGCGAGGCCCGAGGUAGGGGGGGAGGCCCAGGAUAGCGGGCGUGGCCCAGCGUGUGCAGUAUGUGGUUAUGCAUGGUAUGUGGUAGGGUGGGGAACUCACUAAGCUUCGUGCUUACGGUUUUCAGUUUUGGUUUCAGGUACUUCCGGUAGCGGAGGGAAGAGCUCGGGGGUGAUCGCAUGGCACACACCAUAGAUUAGACAGUCUGGGAAUGUUUUACUCUGACAAUGAACAUGUGUUUUGGAAAAUUAAUACUCUGAUUAUGUUUUGAAUUGGUGACCUUGCUUAAAGAAAUCUUUUAUUAAAAGAAAUUUUUAGUCAUGAAUUUUGGGACGUUACAAGUUGGUAUCAGAGCCUUGGUUUGAGGGAUUCGGGCAUACUCUCGGGUGUGCCUGAACUCAAACUAAGGGGUCGGAUAAAAAGUUUUCAAAAUGAAAAGACAGUUUUCUAAAAAGAGAGUUUUGGGAAAGAAAACAGUUUUAGAAAAGCAAAAAGAAUUCAGAAAGAAAAGAACUUUGAAAAGAAAAAAAUGGUGUGGUGCAUGCAAUCAGCUGGUCUUAAGUAAGUACCCCAAAUUACCCAUACAAGUUUAUGUUAUGAUUAUCAGUUAGUAGAACAGCAUGCUAGAUUAGGACUAAGGAUCUAGGGAGGAUGCCUUAUGUGCCUAUUAUAUGUGCUUUGAGUUGCAUGAUAGUGUUGAUUAGACAGUGGUAGGAUAGCCUGUUUAGGUUAUGCCUGAGUAUAUGAGUUUGUGUUGCAUGCUAGUUCAGAUUCUUGCUAUGUGGAUAUGAUUGCUUAUGUAUGUUAUGGUUAGAUUUUCCCCUUGUCUGAAUGCUGCCUGCUUUGUGCAAUAUGGGAUUCCGAGUGAUGGGAGUAACCAUUAGGUGGAUACGUCACGUCACAUGUGAUCAGGGUUGAAUAAUCUCAGAGUGCUAAAUUUGGCCCUAUUUCGCAGCUCUCGUUUGAGUCCAACCAUUGUAGGGAUGAGUCUUUUACUCGAAGAAUUAUCUGAGCCUUGUCACAUGUGAUGGUGUCCAGUUGAUGGCCAAUUGGCAUCACAAGGAGUCCUUCAGCAGCUGAGGCCUGGUUUGGUGUGAGUCAGAGGUUUCCUUAGGGUAAGCCUAGGAUGAGAUAGUGUUGGGAGCAGUAGUAGUGGAUAAGGGACCUGGUGGAGUCGAAGCAAUUCCNGAGGAAAGUACAGAUAGAUAUGGAUGGUAGUAUGGGCCCGUACUACUGAAAGCAGAGGAUCCGUACUCGAUUCGGGAAAGGCUGAGACAAGACCGAGAACCUAGUAGGGUGAGUGUGUGUCUGGUCUCACAGCAGUGAUAAGUAUUCUGAUAGAGGAUGUAUUAUAUAUUCAGCAUGGUGACAUUGCGAGAGAGACCAGUGGGUGGACCAGGCGCCGGAGAGGGAUCGCUCGGGGUCNAGCAGCUCGAGGAGCGGAUGAGGGAGUUGAUAUCAGCUGAGGUUACGCGCAGUAUUCUAGAUCAGACUCCUGUGAUCUUUGGCACGGUCAAGGAGGGUAUAUUGGAGAUUUUGGAUGAGAGGCUGGGAGCCUUCCGUACCGAGAUGAUGGCAUUGAUGGGAGCACGUACCUUGACAUUUCGAGAGUUCAGGGCUUGCGGGGCACCAGAUUAUCAUGGGGCUAGGGACCCCAUCGCUAGCAGCAGAUGGUUGGUUGAUGUUGCCAAUGCAUUCCGUACGAGCCGGUGUCCUGAGGGGGACAAGGUUAGGCUCGCUUCUUGUCUUCUGAAGAACAGAGCAAGGGAUUGGUGGGAGGAGAUUAGUCAUGCCUUGGGGGAUGAUGUCGCGUUGGAUGCGAUGACUUUGAGCGAUUUCUCGUCCAGGUUCAGGGCGGAGUUUUCGCCGAUUAUUGAGGUGCAGCAGUUGCCACAGGAGUUUCAGGAUUUGACGCAGACCACUGAGACUGUGGCGGAGAUCACCGCCAAGGUCAGGGAGAGGGCUCUUCUUGUACCGCAGUGUGUCGCGGAUGAGGAGAUGAAGAAGGCCCGAUACCAUGAGAUGUUGAGGGAUGAUAUCAGGGUGUUCGUGAUCAGGUCCAGCUGUAAGACGCUAGAAGAUAUGAUUUCUCGAGCUAGAGAGAGGGAAAUUGAUUUGGAGCAGAUCCGGAAGAGGAAGCCGGAUGAGGUUUAGGUAGCCACAGGUUCGGGCAAAAGGCCUAAGGGAUCAGAUUCGAGAUCGAGGGAUUAUCAGGACCGCAGUCGGUGCGGGAAGUGUGGCAGGGCGCACAGGGGUGCGUGUAGGAGUGGUAGCGGUGGUGAUUCUGGCUGCUUCAAGUGCGGUCGGACUGGUCAUUUCAGUAGAGAUUAUACUGUUACCACCACACAGGGAUCAGACUUGAUAUGUUUUCACUGCAAUCAGCGGGGCCACAAGAAGGCCCAGUGCCCCAGUUUGUUUUCAAUAGGACGGGUGAUGACACUUGCCCCUGCAACUUUGAGGAUCACAGACGGCCGUCAGGGCCGUGCAGAGGCGCCUGCGGUAGGAGGCAGGUCUUUUCAGAUGACUACCUUGGAGGCGCGAGCAGCACCGGACGUUGUAGGUAUGCGAUUUUGUUUUCAGUUCUUUUAUUUGUGCAUGAUUAUAUUGUUAUGGUUCUGGAUCAUCAUUGGUUUGAGUAUUUUAUUUUUUGAGCGGUUGAUUGUGAUCGAGUUAUAUGCCAUCUUAAUACCUUGGAUAUUUGAAUGGUAGUUAGGAGAUGUGCUCUAUUAGAGAAGGUUUCAUAGGAUGCAGUAAUUGUAGCAUGCCUGGGAGGGACUUGGUAUGUCUCGCUAGAUCGGAGUUGUAUAAUGUUAGAGAUGGAUUGGUUAGAUCCCUAGCUAUGGUGAGCUUGGGUUCCUCAGCAGCUUGAUUAUGGAAUGGUAGCAAGGAUUGGGAUUCUUUUGAGUAUUGAGCAGCAAGGGGUAAGCAGGAUCGAAGUGGGGGAGAAUCCUCCGAGUGUGCAAAGGUAGGAUCACGCAGACCCAAAAUGAGUGCGCGACCUCCGAGAAGGAAAAGAAGUAGUUCAGCGUUUGAUGGAUUGAGGAUUUCAGGGUUGGGAUUUUGAGAAACUCCCCAUCAGCUAGUGCGUGUGAUGGUGAUGGUUAGUAUGUGGUUGGGAAUUCAGGUUGUGGAUCGCCCGUAGGACUCGAGGGAGUCGGAAUGAGGAUCUUGAGAGCUAAUGGCACAUGGGUGCCUUCGUAUUAGCAGUCAGUGGUAGAAAGUGAUGUAAGACUACGGGGCAGCCGUAGCAUUCACUAACAGUUAGUGGUAGAAAGUGAUGUAAGACUACGGGGCAACUAUAACACUCACUAGUAGUCAGUGGUGGAAGUGUUGUAAGACUACGGGGCAACCAUAGCAUUCACUAGCAGUCAGUGAUGGAUGGUGAUGUAAGACUACUAGUAAGCCGUAGCAUUCCUUAGUAGCUUCGUUAGCGGAGUUGGGGCGAGGCCCUUAUCUCCUAGCGAUCAGAUAGGGAUCAGGAAUGGGUAGUGGAUGAAAGUGAUAGGAAGUUUGCUUGUAUAGCCCUAGAGAGGUGAGACCUUGGGAGAGGCCGCUCCAGGAUAUAGUUGGGUGAGGCCUGUGGGCGAGGCCCGUAUGAGAGUAGCGGUAUAGGUGAGACCUGAGAGUAGGGUUGCUCAGUAGUAUGGCCGGGUGAGACCCGUAGGCGAGGCCCGAGAGAGAGUGGUUAGACAAGUAGGACUAGAAGGAUAGAGGCGGGGGGGACCCGUGGGCGAGGCCCGUGUGUUUUAGCGGCAUAGGGGGGACCUGGUAAGGACCUUAGUGUCAAGAUAAGGGAUCGGGGAUCCAUGGAUUGUAGUGACUGAAUGGCAGAAUAGAUUGCGCAGUUAUAGGUGGUCAAAGUUCCUUCGAAAGUCGCUGGGAGCGACUAGGAGUAGUGUUGGGACUAGCGACCGGUGGGAUCCGGUAAUCCAGAUAUUGGUAGGACGGUAGGGAUUAGGGUGGUCUCAGUUCAUCCGGAAGGCAGAUAAGGAAUAGCAGAAUUUUCAGUCAGUAGUAGUGCGGGUAAGCAGUGUAUGGUGGAAUUCAGUUAGUUGUAUCGAGGGGUGCUCGACACCAAGUUUUGACAGAGAGGAGUGUCAGUGGUUACUGGCGGUGAUGACCUGUACUGGAAGUAGCGGGGGUGAUGGAGUUGGCGAAGGAUAUGACCUUCACAGUGACAGAGGAAAUAGUUGGUUAUGGAGCAUUGCCUUGGGAAGGCAAGGAAUUCGCACAAGGAAAGAAGGGGUGAACCCCUAUAGGUUCAGUACAGUACUCGGUGAGUACCGGAAGGAUUGUCGGUUGAGUAAGUUGUGUUUCCAGGAUGUUCAGGGUCAGGGUGACCUGAGUCUAUUAUCCGCAAGGAAUGAUGUUAGUCAGAAUGACCGGGCGGAAGACCAGCGAAGGUAGGCAGCUGGUGUUGGAAUGAUUAGUUGGGUAUUGAAAGCAUAUCGCAGGCAGUGGCCCAUAGCAAACUUCGAGGAUGAAGUUUAGUUUAAGUGGGGGAGAGUUGUAACACCCAAAGUCAGAAAGGCCAAGAAAGGAAAGGAAACCCUAAGUCUAAGGGAUGACUCAGUAAGUCCAAGGAGGAACUCGGCGAGUCCGAGCGGGAUCCGGGUCGAGGAAUAAGUGAACGACUCGGCGAGUCGGCCAAGGAGACUCGGUGAGUCUGGUCUGUACGAGGAAAUCCCUAAAUUUGGGACUUGGAGCCUAUUUAAGCGCCUCAUUCUCUUCCCUAGGGUUCCUCUACUGCCUCUCUAACCCAGAACACCAAACCCUAGCCGCCAUAUCCGUUGUUGAGCCAAUUAUUGCUUUGAAGAGUGCAUUAAAGCUUGGAGAAGGAAGAAGGGCCUUGGAGGUGCAAGAAGGAGCUAUAGAUCUGGGCUUGGGAAGAUAUUUCUGAACAUUUAAAGGUAAUAAACUAGUUCUUGGAAUCCUUUGCACCAAGAUCUAUGUUGAGUUUUGGGGCUUUUGGCCAUGAUUGGUAUCCAUUUGAGUUAGAAGCCAGAUCUAAAGUUGGAACUUCGGAUCUAAGCAUAUUUUGGCCUUGUGAAGCAUAAAGUAUCAGCCCUUGAGUUGAUUAUGGAGCCUCUUUGCAUUAAACCCUAUUUUAUGGUGUGUUUAGCCUAGAUCUCCUUCUCUACACGUAAAGUUUGCAACUUUACGUGAGGAAUAGGCUUGGGAAGGGUAGAUCUACAGUUUGGGGUCCAUGCAUGACUCAAAAGUCCUCUACAUGUAUGUAGAUCUGAAUGGACUCGACGAUUCCUUUGAGUGGACUCGGCGAGUAGCAUGAAGAUUAGGAGGAAUUUGACGAGUGGGAUAAACAGCUCGUCGAGUCAGAUGAAGUUGGGCAGGAACUCGGCGAGUUGGAAGAACAACUCGGCGAGUCAGUUGAAGAUUGCCUUGGACUUGGCGAGUCUGUUCUUGGACUCGGCGAUUCAGGUCACGAAACCCCAAACCCUUCGAGUUGAGACUCGAAUCAGUGAGUCGAGUGGAGACUCGGUGAGUUGGACAGGUCAGGACUCGGAAAUCGGUAGACUCGGCGAGUCGAGUCGCGAUUGGAAGGACUUUGAGCAUAUGAACUCGGCGAGUCAAUAGGUAGACUCGGCGAGUAGGGUUGACCUAGAAGAUUGACUUUGACCAGGACUUUGACUUUGACCAGAGUUGACUUAGUUGACUGUUGGGGGUCAGUUAGUCUAAGUGUUUCAUUGAUAUUGGUAGCUCGGGGAGCUAGUGGAGCAGGAGUUCAGAGAGUUUCUGGGCAGCAUCCAGAAGGUUAUCAGCAUGUUCAGCAAGUGCAUGUGAGUUUCCCUUUGUGCCAAUGGGUCUACGGUCACAAUGUCGGCCCAUGUAGUUAUGAGUAGNGGAAGGUUGACUUUGACCAGGACUUUGACUUUGACCAGAGUUGACUUAGUUGACUGUUGGGGGUCAGUUAGUCUAAGUGUUUCAUUGAUAUUGGUAGCUCGGGGAGCUAGUGGAGCAGGAGUUCAGAGAGUUUCUGGGCAGCAUCCAGAAGGUUAUCAGCAUGUUCAGCAAGUGCAUGUGAGUUUCCCUUUGUGCCAAUGGGUCUACGGUCACAAUGUCGGCCCAUGUAGUUAUGAGUAGAAGACCCGGGGGUUAGCCCUAGGCACAGUAUGCUAGUAUGAUAUUCGGGACGAGGUCCAAUGAUAGAGGGCGGGUGCCCAAGGAAUGGUUUAUGUGAUAGUUUAUACUUGUUGUCUGUGUGAUACUUGUAUGUGCCUGGUAGGGAGGUGAGUGUGGGCGAGGUCCCGUAUCUCACCAAUAGCAGAGUGUGGAUGGUGUUCCACAUCUCAGUAGCAGCAGAUCAGGGGCGAGGCCCAAGUUAGGGAAGGAGUGAGGGUGGGCUGGGCCCGUACCUCACUAUCAGCAGGAGUAUGGACGGGGUUCCAUGACUCAUCAGUAGCAGGACAAGGGCGGGGCCCAGAGAUAGGCGAGGCCUUAGGACAAGAUCCGUUAGUAUGUGUUUAGCUUAGGUUAUGUGAUGUGAUAUGUUUAUGUGCUAUUAUAUGUUAGUGGGCGAGGCCCUGUGACAGGCGAGGCCUAAGUGAAACAGAUCUGUAUCCGAGCGGGGCUCGAAGCCAGGCGGGGCCUGGAACGGUGAGGCCGUUAUAGCGGGCGAGGCCCGAGGUAGGGGCGAGGCCCAGGUUAGCGGGCGUGGCCCAGUAUGUGCAGUAUAUGGUUAUGCAUGGUAUGUGGUAGGGUGGGGAACUCACUAAGCUUCGUGCUUACGGUUUUCAGUUUUGGUUUCAGGUACUUCCGGUAGCGGAGGGAAGAGCUCGGGGGUGAUCGCAUGACACACACCAUAGAUUAGACAACCUGGGAAUGUUUUACUCUGAUAAUGAACAUGUGUUUUGGAAAAUUAAUACUCUGAUUAUGUUUUGAAUUGGUGACCUUGCUUAAAGAAAUGUUUUAUUAAAAGAAAUUUUUAGUCAUGAAUUUUGGGACGUUACAAAGUACAUUAAUCCUUGGUACAAAUAUUACAUCAACAAAAGUUAUCUCUAAGCUUUCAUGAAAUUGAAGACCUUAUGCCUAACACAACCAUUGUAUCUAGAUAAGAUUUUCCUACUUAUUUACUUUGUUGUGUGCAAAUAUUAAUACACUUGACUUAAGCAUCACCAACAUUUGGACAUAAUUGUUGACGUUGAGGUGGUUGGUUAGAGCAUUAGUCAACUUUAAUAUUCAAGUGAAGACGUAUCAAAUACAAGUGAUUGUAGUUCACUCCUAUAGCAACAAGAGGAGCAGAGGCUUUAAGUAGUUUAUCCAUUUCAACAUGAAACUCUUUUCACACAUGAACGAUCUUAUGACACCUGUCAAAUGCCUCUUAAAAUAUACAAUCAACACUUGGUCAGUAGCUUUCUUCUCUGUGGCCAGAACCAUGACCUCUUCAUUUCCCUAUAUUAAUGAUGACAGGUUCAUAAACUAAAAGGACUGUAAAGUCAAAAUAGUUGACAUUAUGUUGACAUACCUAGUGGUGUGAAGAGAAGAAUAAAUAGAAUGUUUGUAAUAAACCCGCUUUCUUGGGUGAGGAAACCAUGACACUUGUUCAGAAAUGAAACAUCCCAACUAGCACCUAACGACUUUUGCUACAUUGAGAUAUACUAGCAAACAACAUAAGCAAAUCACAUGGAAAAUUAUUACAAUUAAUAAAACUCAUAAAUAAAGUGGUAAAAACAGCCUUGCACACACUCUUGAUUAAAAAAAUAGUUUAUAUUAGUGUAACAUCCCGAUUUCUCGAUAUCAGUUUAAAGUUCUAGAGUCAUGUUUCAAAGACAACUCGACGAGUUGAUAGGCCAACUCGUUGAGUAGUGACCAAAUCAGCCAUGUGGAUUUUAGACCCUACUCGUCGAGUUGGAGGACCCGACUCGACGAGUAGGUGCUGGAAAGUGAAAACCAUAAUUUUUAGGGUUUGCACCCUAUUUAAAGGUCCUUAACUUUCCUCCUCAGCCUCCCUUGUCACCUUCACGUCCAAAAAAACCAACUAGUCUCUAUUCUUGAGUGUGUGAGACCAAAAGAGAGUGUAUUGGAGCAUUCUUAAGGAGUUAAGAGCUUUGAACAAGGGAUAGCUUGUAGAUCCAACUUUUCCAGUGUUGUGACAACAAUAUUGAGUUAUAAAGCUACCACCUUUAUAUUUCAUUGCUUAGAUCUUCCUUUUUGGUAAAGUAAUUGUCAUGUCUAGGGCAUGAUGGGGUCACACUCGGAUUUAAGCUUGCCACAAGGGCAUAGUUUUAGAACUUGACUUCUUAAGGCCUUAUGAACAUAAAUCCUUAAGCUUUAUGAAGCCCUAGCCCUCCUUCAUGUCCAAAACCUUCUCCUAAUGCUAAUUAUGAGUGUUUUAGCUUCAUAGAACCAUGCAUGCAUGUAAAGUUAGCAACUUUAUGUGAUAACAACACCCUAGGAGCAUAGAUCUACUGUUUGGAGCUUUGGAGCAGCUUAAAAUAGUCUGAAUGAGUGAUGGACUGAAGGAGACUCGACGAGUUUCAUGGUUGAAUCGAAGAGUCGGUUGAAGAUUGCCCAUAAUGGUUUUGCAUGGACUCGGCAAGUCAGUAAGAAGACUCGACGAGUCAGUUAGGGUUCUUCCUGACAUUUAGACACGCGUAGACUCGCCGAGUUGGUGGGGAAACUCUGCGAGUUGGCCCAGGGAUUUCACGGUUUUCUGAGUUUUGGAGGAACUCGAUAGGUCAGUAGUUGGACUCGACGAGUUGGGUCAACAUGGACUGUUGACCUUGACUGUUGACUUGGAGUUUGACCAGGGUUAACCAUGUUUGACUUUGGAGGGUAUUUGGUAAAUGGGUAUUUAAGGAAAUGGAUCAUGGGUGGAUAUAGGUAAUGGAGUUUGGGGCAGUAUUUUGAGAGCGUGAUUUCGUGGUUUAGUUCGGCAUUGCAAGGUGAGUUAUCCUCACUAUAUCAACAGGGUCUAAGGCACCAAGGUCAGCCCUUUAUCUGAUUUGUAUUCGGGUAUUUGCUUGAUAUGUUUUUUGAUCUGCUAGAUCUGCAUCCUGGUAGUUAGGAUGGUAUUAUGUUUAGUGACCUGGUUUAGGUCAGUAUCCUGGUAUAUGGGAUGAUGUUAUGUUAGUGACCGGUUAGGUCGGUAUCCUGGUUAUAGGACGGUUGUUGUGUUAGUAAUCAGUUAGUUUGGUAUGAUUAUCUGUUGUAUACAUGCUCGCGUAUAAUAUUUAUGUGCACAUGAUUGUUUGAUUGUUAUGGGGGUUGGGUUGAGGCGGGUCCUGCUUCGUGUUGUAGGCCAACAUACCCAUGGCGGACCGGAAAGACUACAGGCCCAGGAAGGCACAUUGUCCAACCAAUGGCCCAACGAGCGGUCCGGAUAGGCUGAAGGCCCCGAGAGGGUGGUCCAAACGUGCCGAGGCUCGGAGAGUGGGCCAGGUGGACUGAAGGCCCGGUGCGGGCGGUCCAGUCAUACUGUAGACUCAAAGAGUGGACCAGGUGGACUGAAGACCCAGUGCGGGUGGACCAGUCACACAGUAGACUCGGGAUGCAUGGCUGUUCAGUGUUUGUUAUAUGAUAUGAUUAUGGAUUGUAUGAGGUUGGUAUUUUGGGGGUAACUCACUAAGCCUUCGAGCUUACGUUUAUCAAUUUAUGUUUCAGGUACAACGAAUUAACCCAGGAAGACGAAUGUGUGAUCGUACACUUCCCCAUAAUAUGUUUUGGAUUUUCUGGGAUACUCUGAUGUGAAACUAUUUUGGAAACCUUUUUGUAAUAACUAUUGGCAUUUGAAAUGUUUUUAAAAGUUUAAAUUUGGCUUGGAUUUUAUGGGUGUUACAAUUAUUUCAAUUAUCCAAGACGAUUUUAUGUCGAGAUUUUAAGUUAACAUUAAAUCUCAAUUAUUUGUUUGAAUGAUUUUUUUCUUUUAUCUUAGAGAUUUGUUUGAAAUUUAUUAAUUUUUUUUAUAAAUUUGAAUUAAUCAAAGACACAUAUAAAAAUAUCUCAUCAAAUCAAAUAAAUUUAAUAUAUAAAAAAGAUAGUAUCCGAUUAAGUCAAUCUAAAAAUACCAACAUAUAAAUAUAACUCACAAAUCUUGAUGGGAAUAAGAAUCAAACUCAAAAUCAAUCAAAUAAAAAAACCUUUGAUUUGUGUUAUAAGUAUAAAAUAAAUCAGGAUUCCAAAUAAAUAUUACAAUGAAAAAAAACCUAAAAUGUUUGAAACAAAAUAUGAAAUUCGCCAUCACUGUCAAUUUAAAAAAAAAACCUUUAUUAAUACUAAUGGGCUAUUUGGUAGCAUCCUGAUGAAUCAUAUCUGAAUGAUCUAGAUGCCUGGAUGAUCUAGAUGCUCUUUAGGAAUUUCUAUCGGAAUGAUAAAAUAAUGUUUGGUUAGGCAUCUAAAUAUCUGCCUCUUAAUGAGGAAAAUAACCAUUUUAGCCCUCUAAAUUAUUUUUUGAAUACAAAAUAAACAUUAUACAAUAUCCAACAAAUCGGUUAAAACAAAUUGGCUUUUGAUAUUCAGAUUCAUGUGUUUCUUCAUCAACAAUCUCUUUGAAGAGGACUCGUUUUGUUUCUGUUUUUAGAUCAUUAGGCUUUCUUGCUUCUGGAACAUUGAUGGGCCUAUUUUCUUGCUGAAUAUCUUCCAUCACUAGCAACUUCAUCUUGCUCCUAGAUCACAUAUCAACUAAACAAGUUGAAAAAUAACCAAACACAUAUUUUCAUAUAGAACAUUUCAAGCAAACACAAACACAUUUUCAAAAAAAAAAAAACAAAUCAAUUGUUAUUUUCAGAUUUCCAAAGGACAAAAACAACAUCAACUGAACACAUAUAUAGAGCAAGAAGAACAAAGCACAAAAAUCGAUUUCAUACAAAAUCGAGCAGCAAGAACACGAUUGACACCAAUUUCAUGCAAAAUUGCUCAACAAUAACACGAUUGAAGCAACAGAUUCGAGAAAAAAAACCAUACCUGAAAACUUACCGACGACGAGUAGGCGGAGAAGUAGGAGCGUUGUCGAAGGCAUGCAAGGGGAGGCGGCGACGGAGCCAAUAAUUGGAAGUUGUCAACGCUUAAUGAAGAUAAAGAAUGAGGGAUGAAAGGUCGAUCUCUAGAAAGAAGGAGAAGAAAAAAGAGUCGGCCGCAAUUUGUUGUUAGGGCAAUGGUAGAAGAUGAAAAUUUUUUUAUUCAGACUUCUCCUCAUAUCUUAACGAAUCAGAUUAGUUUUAGCUACAUCUGACCGAUUAAGAGCGUAAAAAUGUUUCAACCAAACACUCUGAAUCUUAAUGAUCCAAAUGCAACCUCUUAAUGAGACCAUUAAGAGGCAAAACAAACAGCCCCUAAAUAAAAAAAACAAUAUAGUUUCCAUAAAAAUCGAUUUAAAUAUUAAAGAAGAGAAGAAAUCAGCAUUUAUACGACGUAAUAGUUUUUUAAAAUUAAAAAAAAAAAAUUAUUCAUAUUAUAAGUAUAAAAUACAUUUUAUUCUUAACUCUCAUUUGUAAUUUGCCAUAUGUUUUCAUAAGAGUUUAUGGUAAUAACUUAAAUUUUUAUUUUUCCAUAUACCAUUUUUCAUUUACAAAAUUGUUUGUGCUUAUUUUUUUUUGUUAUAUUAAAAUUUAUUAUAUUUUAUUAUAUAAUAUAUAUCAUAAUUUUUUUCAUUAAUUUACAUAUAUCUUAUUUUUACGUGUUUAUUUGAAACAAUCGUUAUAAUGCAAAAUAAAUACCACUUCUCCAUAUUAAUUAUUAAUUUUUAUUAAAAUACUUUAUUAAUUAUUAUAAUUUUUAUCUAUUGAUAUUCGUUUAAUUUUGUAAGUUUUAUUUUCACAAAGUAUAACCUAAUUAAUUUCUCAUCAUCUAUAGUAAAUGAAAGUUUUUUUUUUCACAUGCAAUCACUAAUUAAUUUUGACACUUGUCAUUUUAUAAUAUUUUUUAAAUAAAUAAUAUCCACAUAUCAAUUUAUGAUUUUUNNNNNNNNNNNNNNNNNNNNNNNNNNNNNNNNNNNNNNNNNNNNNNNNNNNNNNNNNNNNNNNNNNNNNNNNNNNNNNNNNNNNNNNNNNNNNNNNNNNNNNNNNNNNNNNNNNNNNNNNNNNNNNNNNNNNNNNNNNNNNNNNNNNNNNNNNNNNNNNNNNNNNNNNNNNNNNNNNNAUCAAAUGUAAUAAAUAUUAUUUUAAAAUUUCAUUUUAAAAAAUAUUUAUUAUUACAUUUUAAUAUUUUAUAUUCUUUAAUCAACCGUGUAAUACAUUUUAAUACAUAGAUUUUCCAUCUAAUAAAUAAAUAAAAUGUAACCAUUUUAAUCACUAAAUAAUUAAUCAACCAAAGAUUAAAACCCACUGAUAAAAAGGAAACUAAAUCAACACCAAAUUGAAAAUUAAACCAUAUAUUACUAAAUUAAUUCACAGAGAGUUCGACAUCAAUCAAAUAUUAUCUCGCACUCAAAUUCACAAAACUCACUUUCCAGGUACAAAGUUUGUAGCAUAUGACCAUGCAUUGUUUGCAACAGGGUCAGCAAGGUGGUCAGCGAGGUUCUCCAAUGGUCCCUUUCCGGUAACAAUGGCUUGAACAAAGAAUCCAAACAUAGAGAACAUGGCUAGUCUACCGUUCUUGAGCUCCUUCACUUUCAGCUCAGCAAAUGCCUCUGGGUCAUCAGCCAGACCCAAUGGGUCGAAGCUACCACCAGGGUAAAGUGGGUCAACUACCUCACCAAGAGGUCCACCAGCAAUUCUGUAACCUUCAACUGCACCCAUCAAGAUCACUUGGGUAGCCCAGAUGGCUAAAAUGCUUUGUGCAUGGAUCAAACUUGGGUUCCCCAAGUAGUCAAGACCACCCUCACUAAAGAUCUGGGAUCCAGCCUUGAACCAUACAGCCUCACCAAACUUGACACCAUUACGCGCCAAGAGUUCGGGGAAGACGCACCCAAGAGCUCCGAGCAUGGCCCAUCUGCUGUGGAUGACCUCAAGCUCACGGUUCUUGGCGAAUGUUUCAGGAUCAGCAGAGAGCCCAGCAGUGUCCCAACCGUAGUCACCGGGGAACUCACCGGUCAGGUAAGAUGGGGCUUCGCCGGAGAAUGGGCCAAGGUACUUAACACGGUCGGGGCCGUACCAUGGACUUCCUGAUGGUGCGACUUUCUUGACUGCUGUCUUCCUCAUGGAAACCCUUCCAUUUCCGAUUAUUUCUGAACCAGAUGGUGCUGCUUUCACUGCCUGUCCGACGAAAGAAGAAGAUAGAGCCAUGGUGGAAGCUGCCAUUUUUGUGAGAUUUAUUUUGAAGAUGUUGUGAUGGUUAUACUUAUGAAGAUGGGUAGAACUGGAAGUAGAUUUAUAGGGUAGUUUUUGGAUCAGAUAGGUGAUCAAUGCUUAUCUUGAUACAAUCUUUAGCUUCAAUUUGAUUGGCUACAGAGAUUCUUGUGGGUCCGUAAUCUGUGGUGUGAGUUCUCUGGCCCCCCUGAGAUAUUUUGAAGGGGCAGGAUAUUCGUGGCUCUGGUUUAUUGAGCCAAUGACUGGCUUUCACUCACUACUCUUAGUGGUGGUUUUUUAUAAUAUGCUGUAAGCUUGUAACCAUCCAAUCGUCUAAGUUUAUAACUGACCUAUUAUUACAAAUAUAUACUAACCAGGCAAAACUUUUGGUUAUAAAAGUUAAUGUGACCGAGAGACUAACACAAAAAAUUAUAACAGGAGUAGUUAAUAAUCCGCGAUUUACCGCUAUGCCGAGAGCCGUAGGGAGGAUCCACCAUUUACCCCUAAGUGUGCAGAAUGCCUUUUUUUUUUUAGUAUUAAAAUAUCAAGAUCGGACACGCGUUGUAAAAUUCUUGUUCGAAUUGUUUGCAAACUCUUCGUCACAAUAAGGGGAGUUUAAAUAUGCGUUUUAAUAUAAUAACAUUGGCAUUGAUUAAAUGUUAAUAUUCAAUUAUCAUCCCACAUGAGAAUGAAAUAUAUUAAUGAUUUAUUAAUCUAAAAACAUUAUCAUCCCACAUGAGAAUGAAAUAUAUUAAUGAUUUAUUAAUCUAAAAACAAUUUUUUUAUGUCAUUAUUUUUUGGGGUUACAGUCGAGCUUGGAGGAUCUCGACUUUAGGUAUGCCCAUUUUAUUGAGAGGAAUUACUAAUAAAUUUCGGAAAGAGGAAAAAAAUAUGAUCGUGGACAUAUGGUUUAGGAAUAUUUUCAUGUUCGUUUGACACAAGUAAAGUUCUUGAAAUGGGUGCUUCAGUUUGUACGAGCGGCUAACUUGAUAAAGUUCAAAGACAUAAAGGCAAUUUUCAAAAACUCACAUGAUCAGUUAUCGAACAAGCAUGUCGUACUAGUGUGCCCACUACACAUGUUAGUUAGCGGUUUCAAUAGGAAAAGAGCAUCAUUAGCUGUCAAUGAUAAUAUUCUUUCUCUAGUACUCGAUCCUUACGACUUUUAUAUUUAUAUCAUGUAAUUUAGAAUUUAAUUUAAUUUCUAUUAAUCUUCGAUUACAGUUUAUGUGAUCUAAUUCAUGGAUGUUUUGGCACUACAUAUCUCAAUGGAGUAUGCCAGGGAAAUUUUGGUCAUAACAACAGCCUCCAUGGGUUUAUAUAUAUUUUUAAGGUACAUAUAACAUCCUAUUUUUAGGCUUAGAAAUUUUGGUCAUUUAUAGUGAAAAUAAUUUUUUUUAAUAAAAAAAUAAAAAAGGAAAAAUAAAAAUAAAAAGAAUGACUGAAUGAAUACAUGAGCUAAUAAAAGGUUUAGAUCAAAUGUUUAAAGAAAAUAGCGAAUUUAUACUUAAAAUAGGAAAUAAAUAAGGAAGGGUCAGUGGUGGCAACUUUGGAAAACUUGUUUAAUUUAGAUCUAACUAGACAAUUUAUUUGUAAAGAGUUAAAAAUGUAACGAAAUGAUACUUAUAAGCUUAAGAGGGAGUUUUUCAGUUGGAAAUGUUGUUAGAAACCCUUAUUGGAAAAAAUUAGGACAAAAGGACUAAAAUUGUCAAGUUGAUGAAACUUGUGUUAACCUUAAUGUAACGACCCUAAAAUCUUAAAUUAUGUGUUUAAUUACUUUGUAUCAUUUUGUUGAAAAAUGAACAUUAAUGAUGCAAUAAUCAAUUUGUUAGUAAAUUUCAUUGUAUAUCCUUACAUUUAUCAUGUUAUAAUCGAAAAUAUAGGACAUUUCAGCAAAAAAUAACCCUGUAGGAAAGUCGCAUUACACCUCGAUAUAUUCGUGUGGAUAUAAAUUCUAUGAAAAUCCAAAUUUGUAUGACGAAGUUAUAGUCAAUAUAAGUUGGAAGUACAAAUUUUAAUGUUUAAAUGUGUAUGUUNNNNNNNNNNNNNNNNNNNNNNNNNNNNNNNNNNNNNNNNNNNNNNNNNNNNNNNNNNNNNNNUAUAUAUAUAUAUAUAUAACAUCUCAAAACCAUAAUAACCAUAACAUAAAAUCAGAGUUUCAAAACAUAUUAUCUCUCUAAACCAUAACAAUCACUGGAUGAUGUGUAGAGUCACGUGUAACAUCUCGUUUAAAAUUAGAUAAAUAAAAUAAAAUAAGUAAAUAAAUUAGAUAAAAUAAGUAAAUAAAUAAUAAACCCUAAAACCUCAAGAUGAAUUUUAUAUUUUUAUGUUAGCCUUAAAUCCAUAAUAAUUAUCAGAGUAUUAGCGCAAUAAGUUAAAUGUUAUUAAUUCUGGAAAUAGGGGUUUAAAAUGUAAAUUUCGAACUAGUUAAGAAUAGAUUUGUGGAAGCUGGGGAUUGUUUGGUAAUUUGGACUUGAAUUGAAAGGAUUAUUGGAAACAGGUAUAGAGUAAAUUACAGAUUUAAUUUGUAAAGGAAUUGAGAUGGAGGGACUGAAAAUAUAAGAAAGGGACUAAUGUUUGAAGAGAUAGGCAUGACUUAAACCCAUUCCCCCUCCACCCUCUUGCUACUCGGUUGCACCCAUAUAAACCCUAACCCUAAUAUCUUCUCAGCCGCCACCUUAUCCCUCCAUAUCUCCAGUCGCUUCCAUCACCUGUGUCGCCGUCAUGAACCACUGAGCACCACUGCCGCUGCUCCCACUGCCGAUGAAAACGAAGAUCAACGUUUGGACACCGUGACAGUGGGGAAGUAGGAAGAAAGGAAGCUCGUGGUUGUUAUUGCUGUUAUUCUCGGUUAGGGGUCGCAAAACCUUUCUCUUCUCCGUUUCCUUUUGUUGCUACGUUGUCAUCGUCAUCGCUCCAUGUGAGGGUGGUUGUGUUUGUGUUUUGUGAGUGUAGGUGUGUGUUGCUGCUGUGGCAAGUUGGAGAGGUGUGUGUGUCUUUUGUUGGCCAGAAAAACGAAGAGAAUCACCAUGGCAACCAACCAUGGUGGUUUUCACCGUUCUGGAGCCACUAGCCACCACCCUAGGUGGCUGUGUGUGUUGGAUUGACAUUUCUUCUGUACCAGGAUGCUUUUGAUAGUGUUUGGCCUAAAAUUAUAACUACCACCAUUAAAAAGUGGUGGCUGUCGCCUCCUACCGCCAUGGACCGCCGCCGACCACCAAUGCCCGAGGUGGCAGUGGGUGGUGUCUGACUUACUAAACAUUAAAUAACCUAAACAUCUAACCUUAGACCGAGUGGUACGUGUUUGGGUUGGAAACUCUUACUAGGCUUUAGAAAAUCCUAA